UUUUGAUUCAUAAUAUUUCUCUUUUCCUCUUUCUACAGAGAAAUGGAAACCGAAAUUUGUAGGUAGGGUAGGAUGACAUAUACUGUAAAUUACAAAUAAAUAAACAAAAAAGCAAUGAAACAUAGAAGCAAAUAAUAAAAGAGUAAAAUUCAUGCAGCACACACCACAAGCACCGGUGUUUGAAAGGGCUGCAACUUCACUUGUGCUACGUCAUCACCAAGUCUCUCCUCAUUCUCAUUGUUAUUUGCCACCACUACUGGAACUAUAGCGGCCAUGUUAAUUUCCUCUGUAUCGUUGAAAUUAACGUCUUCGGAAUCAACAGGAUAAAUCUGCUCCGAGUUUACUGCAUGCUCACAAACUUUUUUCUCUAAAUCUAUCGCUGGCUUUGCGUUCCGGUAAAUUCCAUAUAACAACAUUUGAAUCAUUCCCAGAAAAAAACCCAGUACAUUCGGCAAUGCAAUACACAAGUCCUUAAGGAGGAGUCCAUAGCCAAACCACAUGAUAGCACUCAAAGUAAGAAAGAAAGAGAGGGUGAAAGGCAUGAAUUCCACAGUCCUUGUUCGAACCACUUGAAACACGAUGCUAAGAGGUGCUGCAAAAACACCCACUGCUACGGUUACACAAAUCCAACCAACAACUUGUACGCGUAGGACUCCAUCCAGAGGAAAUAAAGUGAUCAAAAAUAUGAGUGUGUAUAAUCCUCCGAUCAAUAAUACCAAAAGUUGCACCGUUUGCCUCCUAGCCUCCUUGGAUGCGUAGAGAAUGAAAAUCGUAAUGUAAAUGGUCUCAACAAUGCAACCAAAGGAAUUGAUGGAGACUAGAAGAAUUGUAUUUUUCUUGAUAAAUGCAUAAUACAUCCAUAACAUCGAUGAAAAUAGUGCUACCACGUAAGGUACUGAUUGAUAACCCAUCGUUGAUUUUUCUUUGCAAAUUCGUCUGAAUGCUGGCACUGGAGCUAAGAAGACCAUUAUGGAGAUAACAUUUCCUAAGACUCCAAAGACGAAGAGCCAUGGAUGGUGGAGGUCAAAUAAGGCCAUUCUGAUUGUGAUUUGGUUAUUUGAAUGAUAUAAAUUAAUAUAUUCAAAUUUGUGAAGAAAGCUUUAUUUAAGGUCUCUUGAGAAGCCUUGCUCUUUCUCUUUCUCACUUAUAUAAAAGAUAGAAA
rnacentral:misc_RNA from 1 species